rnacentral:lncRNA from 1 species
UCGAAAGCAUUUGUUUUUCUAUAGGAUAUUUAGUAUUUUUAUAAUCAUUAGGUGAAUAUAUUCUCAUUACAAAUGCAAUGACUUGUUUUGUACUGAUUUGUGUAUGGUUGGUUUGUGUUCUUAUUGUAAGUUAUGUUAUCAAUAUUUUUGAAUAUAAUACAUGUAUUGGAUUUUCACACAGGAAUUGUGAACCACUUUUUUUGUACAUUUUCCUUUCGUUUGGUGCCGUGUUUUUAAUGUUCGCCUAAUUAAUUGCUAUGUACUUUGAUAUAGGCAUUUAUCAUUAGAUAAAUACGUCAACUGAAACAACUAAAAUUAUCAAGCCGCUUUAUAUUUUUAUAUAUAGUCAUUAAACAUAUUAAACAUUACAACCAAGUAGAUUUUUUGGAUGAUUUAUUAAUGAUUGCCAGAAGUCAUAAUUUUCAUAAAAUAAUUAUUGAAACCAAGCGUUCAGGGGUUUUUUUUGGAUGAUUUUUAAUGAUUGCUAGAAGUCUUAAUGAACUUUAAUUUUAAUUAAUAAGAUUUGCAUAUAGCAAAAAGAUUUUUUUUAAUUAACUUUUGAUAAAUGCCUAUCGAACAAAGAAAUCCAUUGUUGUACCUUUGCCUUCGGUAAUAAGAGAAUGUAUAUAAGUUAUUAAAGCUAAUUACUGACAAAUCGAGACUGGUGAAAUUUAAUAUCAUCGUAUUGGAAUUUUUUCAUUAAGAAUUAUAUAUGUUUUUGACAUAUCUGUGAAGUUAAUAUCGAACAGGUGUCACGUAAAACCAUGUGAUAUAUAUUUCAAUCUAAUAAUUUUGAAUUGCAGAUUUUAAUUGAAACGGAAGUUGACAAUUAAUUCAAAUGUCUCAUGUAUAUAUUUGUAUGCUUUUUUAUUAGAUAUGGGGAAACUGUAAUUUAUUAACUCAUCGAUCAUUAGCAAAUUUAAACGAAAUUGGAUUUUCACUAAAUUGAUAAAUUACUUCAAGAGAACCUUUUUCUGAAUAUCAAAUGAAAUAGUUCUUUGUAUUACAUUGUUAUGACAAAGGAAAUUACCUUAAAUCAAUUAUUU